AGAGAGAGACAUGCGCGCAUAUCAAUAAGCGGAGGAAAAGAAACUAACUAGGAUUCCCCUAGUAACGGCGAGUGAAGCGGGAAGAGCUCAAAUUUGAAAUCUUAAAGGUUCUCCCUUGACAAAUUGUAGUUUAAAGAAGUGUUUUCUGUUGGAGUUUUGGUAAAAGUUCUUUGGAAUAGGACAUCAUAGAGGGUGAGAAUCCCGUAUUUGACCAUUAUUUCCAGCUUUGUGAUACACUUUCAAAGAGUCGGAUUGUUUGGGAAUGCAGUCCAAAAUGGGUGGCAAAUUUCAUCUAAAGCUAAAUAUUGGCGAGAGACCGAUAGCGAACAAGUACCGUGAGGGAAAGAUGAAAAGAACUUUGAAAAGAGAGUUAAACAGUACGUGAAAUCGUCAAAAGGGAAGCGUUUGACACCAGUGUUGUUUUCUCGAAAAUCAAUUAAAAAAGGCAGGAUUUUGUGUUGUAUUGACUUUAUCAGCUUUCUGCACUCUUUUCUUGUCUUUUUUAAUGCACUUUUCGUUUAACAAGUCAACAUCAAUUUCUUUUGUUGUAAAAGGGUCAUUGGAAGGUGGCUUUCUUUUCGGAGAAAGUGUUUAUAGCCUUUGGCCUCUGCAAUCGGAGAGAUUGAGGUCUGCAGCGUAGAUCCUUCGGGGUUAGAUACAUUUGUGCUAAGUUAUAGCCUUUCAUAGACAACUUGUUGACUAUGAUCAGUCAUGUAGCUUACUCGCUUAUGCUAUUUUACCUACGCUUAGGAUGUUGAUGUGAUACUGCGAGCA
rnacentral:rRNA from 1 species